GGCCUCUUGCCCCUUGGGCGGCUGGGGAUCGCACUCCUCCUCAGCCAGGGCUGGUGGUCAAGAUCGGCCCUGGAGAAGCCUAGUCAGAGCUGCCCCGAGUGGGCAGCCUUGUUUUCCUGCCUCAGACAUGU
rnacentral:snoRNA from 1 species